UACGUAGGGUGCGAGCGUUAAUCGGAAUUACUGGGCGUAAAGUGUGCGCAGGCGGCCGAGCAAGUCGAGUGUGAAAGCCCCGGGCUUAACUUGGGAAUUGCGCUCGAAACUACUUGGCUGGAGUGUGGCAGAGGAAGGUGGAAUUCCACGUGUAGCGGUGAAAUGCGUAGAGAUGUGGAGGAACACCGAUGGCGAAGGCAGCCUUCUGGGCCAACACUGACGCUCAUGCACGAAAGCGUGGGGAGCAAACAGG
rnacentral:rRNA from 1 species